ensembl:lncRNA
GUGAGAUAAUUACAUGUGCUAGUGUAAUUGUGACAUGCAAUGUUACUAUCCUAUAAUAAUUGAGCAGUUAGGGAUAUAUGUGAUAUUAGGAACAACAAAAGCAGAAACAGAUGACCCCAAGAAUCAGGCUUAGCAGCACUCUCUAGUGCAAAUGUAUCACCUUUAAACUUUACUAUGAAGGAAAAGACAUCUCUAAGCAGAGACAAUUACAUCAGCAGCCUGCCACCAGAGGUACAGGGAUGUACACUCAUACUCAUCAUGACUCGAUGAAUCAUGAUCGAGUCAUGACUCAUCAUUGUAAAUACGCCUGACCAUUUUAUUACCAGCUAUACCAUCAAAAGGCAGAGGUGGGACCAAGUCAUUGUUUUGCAAGUCUCAAGUCAAGUCUCAAGUAAUGUCAGGCAAGUCAGAGUCGAGUCUCAAGUCAUUGGUGUAAAAGUCCGAGUAAAGUCACAAGUCUGAAACUUUGAAUUUCAAGUCCUUUCGAGUCUUUAAAAAAAAACAAAAAAACGAAAAAAGCAUGUUGCAGUUAUGCUAAAUGUAAAUAUUAGACCAUGUAAUUUUUAAAUCUGUGUUUUUCUCAACACAUGACAAAAUAGUGAACUUAGAAAAUAUACACAAAUUGUGAAAUUGCACCUCUAUAAAAUGCAGCUCAAUUAAACCUAGCUCCAAGAAUAAUUUUCACCGACAAUUCUGAGAUAAGCUGCAUGUUAUUCUUGGAUGUGCUUGUAGGACCGGCUUUAAAAUCGCAUGACAAAAAUAUCAUACACAUUAAAAAAAACGGUAUCAUCAACGUAGCCUGGACAACAUUUGCUUGUUAGAUGAAGUCAUGAUCUCAUCGUUGCAAAAGAGAAGCACCACCGACCGUUCUUUAUGCAACUUCAACUGUCGGAGAAAGUUGGAAGUUGUUCCAUCUCUGUCUGUGAUUCUCUACUUGCAUGUUUUGUAUAUUGCAUUUCGGUUUUUUGUUGACUACUUCAUAGUUUAUGUACCUGAAAAAAAUAACUCCUUGCAGCAUUUUUGAGCGUUUUUUUUUUUUUUUUUAAUCUGGUUAAUUUGAUUGGCUGUGCUACAGCUCACACACACAUACGUACGGAGUGUGGUUUGAAUAAAUGAAUCAAUGAAUUGAAUUAAUGGUGCACACUUUCUAUAUAAUAUGUAUGUUAAAUUUUAGAUUUGGGGUGAAAUAUCAAGUCUUUUCAAGUAAACCGGUUCAAGUCCAAUUCAAGUCCCAAGUCAUUGGUGUAAAAGUCCAAGUCAAGUCACAAGUCUUAGAACAUU